GAGUCUCUCUUUGAUUUGCAGCUUAGGUAUACAUGUUACUAAAUCCCCCCCCCCCCAGGGAGGGGGUGGAGCACAGAUUAUUUGGGUCUACAAAAUACGUAUUUUUAAAAAAUAUCUUUUUUUAAAAAAAAUUUUAUGUGGUACUGAGGAUGGAACCCAGUGUUUCAUGCAUGGUAGGCGAGCGCUCUACCUCUGAGCCACAACCCCAGCCUGAUGGGGUUACUGAUGAAAAAGUAUAAUUAAAAAAAAUUGCCACAGGUAAAUAGGGCUGGGACAUGUGUCUUAUAACCUAUGUAACUAAUUUCAUGAUGAUUCUAUCAUGGGGCUUCUCCUCCAUUUUCUGAAAUACUACAAUUAGUUUUUGAGGGACUUUGAGAGUUUUGUCCCUUACCUCAAAGAGCAUACAUAGUCACCUGAUACAGUGCUGAUACAGUUACAAAUGUCCAUUGAUAACCAGGUUUUGGGGGAGUGGGCCUUGAAAGCUCCUAGUGAGCUUGGUUAUUGAGUGUUCAGGCUCUAAACCAGAACACCAGGCUUUGGAACUGAAGAGUGCAGUUUACCAGUGAGUGACCUUGGGCAAGUGACUCCCUCUCUUCAUUUCAGUGUCCUCAUCUGUAAAAUGGGACUACAAACAAUACCUGUCUCCUUAAGGGGUGGUAUGAGAAUUUUACAAGGUAAUCUAGCAUUAGGAAGCAUUUAGCAUAGCACCUGGCCCUCAGUAAAUGUUAGCUACGAAGCUGUUACCACUCUUGUUUUCUUAGCUUAAAUUUUGUUCAAUGUCCUACUUUAGUAGAAUUUUUAGACAAUAAGAAACAUGUUUAUUUUAUGAUCUGAGGAAAGGGAAGCUCUAGAAAACAGGACAUUCACUAGCUAGAAUGGUCCUAGUUUGAAGGUUCUACCUCAUACUUCAUCCACUGAGCGUUCAAGGAGUGGGUGUGAAGGUCGAGAGCUCCUAGGGAAGGACCCAAGACACAGGGUGAGGAAGACAGAUGAAUGGCAGUUCAGAGCAACUGCCUGGGCGUAGAGAACACUGCCUUUGGGGUUUUCACAGGAGUCUGAGCCCCUGGGGAGAAGAGCAGGGCAAGAAGUAGAGGGAAGGGAGGGCGGAAAGAGGUCCAGAGAAGCAGGGGACCAGAGAGGCAGGGAAGGAGGGAGAACUCUCCCCUUCCAUUCCUUCCUCAGGGCUUCUAGGCCAGGGCCUAGCACUGCAGAUCUUAUUGGGCUGGAAGCUGCCAGGGCCAUGGGGAAGUGAGGCAUGUAGCUGAUGAACCCCCAGCUCACAGUCAUUUCACUCUUUGUCAUCCUUUUAGGGAAAAGCUGAAUCCCAGGGGCCAUCUGUUUUGCCUAGACCUUGGUCCAGUGUUCAGUUUUUUUCCGGUGCUGUAUCAGGAUCCAGCUAGGCAUAGCUGGUGACUUCUUAUAAUAGCCAAGACAGGAAGUGGUCAAGACCUGGAAAUAGAGCAGCCGUGGGGGGUGGGAAGGGAGGAAUGACCCAGCCUGGGUGACUUCUCGGGCAAGUGGCACAGAAUUCCUGAACUUGGCUUGGGCUGAAG
rnacentral:lncRNA from 1 species